ACGCUGGCGGCGUGCCUAAUACAUGCAAGUAGAACGCUGAAGAGAGGAGCUUGCUCUUCUUGGAUGAGUUGCGAACGGGUGAGUAACGCGUAGGUAACCCGCCUUGUAGCGGGGGAUAACUAUUGGAAACGAUAGCUAAUACCGCAUAACAAUGGGUGACACAUGUCAUUUAUUUGAAAGGGGCAAUUGCUCCACUACAAGAUGGACCUGCGUUGUAUUAGCUAGUAGGUGAGGUAACGGCUCACCUAGGCGACGAUACAUAGCCGACCUGAGAGGGUGAUCGGCCACACUGGGACUGAGACACGGCCCAGACUCCUACGGGAGGCAGCAGUAGGGAAUCUUCGGCAAUGGGGGCAACCCUGACCGAGCAACGCCGCGUGAGUGAAGAAGGUUUUCGGAUCGUAAAGCUCUGUUGUAAGUCAAGAACGAGUGUGAGAGUGGAAGGUUCACACUGUGACGGUAGCUUACCAGAAAGGGACGGCUAACUACGUGCCAGCAGCCGCGGUAAUACGUAGGUCCCGAGCGUUGUCCGGAUUUAUUGGGCGUAAAGCGAGCGCAGGCGGUUUGAUAAGUCUGAAGUUAAAGGCUGUGGCUCAACCAUAGUUCGCUUUGGAAACUGUCAAACUUGAGUGCAGAAGGGGAGAGUGGAAUUCCAUGUGUAGCGGUGAAAUGCGUAGAUAUAUGGAGGAACACCGGUGGCGAAAGCGGCUCUCUGGUCUGUAACUGACGCUGAGGCUCGAAAGCGUGGGGAGCGAACAGGAUUAGAUACCCUGGUAGUCCACGCCGUAAACGAUGAGUGCUAGGUGUUGGAUCCUUUCCGGGAUUCAGUGCCGCAGCUAACGCAUUAAGCACUCCGCCUGGGGAGUACGACCGCAAGGUUGAAACUCAAAGGAAUUGACGGGGGCCCGCACAAGCGGUGGAGCAU
rnacentral:rRNA from 1 species